GGCGGGAUGGCCAAGUGGUUAAGGCAGUAGGCUGCAACCCUGCGACCGUGGGUUCAAAUCCCACUCUCGCCU
rnacentral:tRNA from 1 species